rnacentral:lncRNA from 1 species
AGACUCUCUGUGCAAGCAACCUAAGAACAUUCUCCAAGCUACACUCCCUUUGUGAAGACUUGUACCCAUCAUCAAUGGUCUCCAUAGGCGAACAAAAGUUGUUUUUAGUGGCCUGGAUUCCCAACACCACCCCCCUUGUGACACCAGCUGCCUCCUCAUCUCCUCAUCUCAGUCUCUCUGCAGUACAGCUUCUUUCCAUCUCCCCACAUCUCCUUCCCUUCCACCAUUUAUCCCUUGGCCCACCAGAGAAUUGAAACGUCCCUCAUGUUUCUUUCUUCCUCCCUUCUUUCCUUUCUCUGCCAGUCUUUGCCAUUCCCAUCUUUUGUGUCCUAAAGACUGAUUCUACCCAGGAAGCUUUCUCAGUUUGAUCCCCUGGAAGGCUGAGGACACACAAGAGCUUUGUGCUACUUCAGAGGACACAUAAGCUCGUUGUGCUAACAUACCACAUGAUUUCAUGUGUUGGCUACAUGCUGCAUUAAAAGGAACUGUCUGACGUGGAAAUGAUUUUAGGGUUUGGACAACAGAAGAUAGAUGGAAAAAGAAGGAAAUUCUCAACAAGUCUUAAUUUUGAUAAUUCUGUUCUUCCCGGCUGUUACCAAGGAGGUGCCUCCUGGAUGCUAUUGCCUAGGAUGUUAAUCUCCAGACAGAGCUUAUACACUGAGAGUACGAAGAAAAUCA